AUGACAAAAGUCAAAAGCUCCUCAAGGGCGCCCUGAGGACAGCUUUUUACAUUUUGUUGCUUUCUGCAUCUCUGGACAUAUUGUGGAUGUUUAAUAAUUAUAUUUUUAAUGAUUGAAGGAAUAACACAGAAGGGAAUCCUGCAUUUAUUGAGCAGGGCGUUGGAAUGCAAAACUUUAAGAUACUUUAACUGUGAAAUUCUUGGAAGCAUUCAUCAUCCUGUGGAAAGCUAAAUUCAAUGAGGUCAGGAAAUCCAAAUGCAGGAAGAAAAAUGAAAACUUCAGCUAAAAUCAUUACAGUGGUUAAGGAUCAGCCAGCAGAGAGAGGAGAAGAGGAGAUGCAGCUGGAUGUCAGAAACUACCGUUGGAGAGAAGCAGCUUGACUUCAGAGGGACAGGUUGAUGGCACAGCUUUGGAGAGGGGUUUGGCCAUCCCCAGCCAGACUCCAGAGAAAGAUUACCUUCUCCUAAUCCGUCCCCUUUGCAGCUCCCCUUCCUGCUGAGAGCCACCUUCAUCGGCAAUAAAAUCCCCCACAUUGACCAUCCUUCUAAUUCAUGUAUGCAACAUUCUUCCUGGAUGCCAGAAAAGAACUCAGGUGUGGGUGCAAAAGGCUGUCACACUGACCCUCUACUGAGCUGUUAACACUUAAGCUGUCCAUGGAUGGCAAAGCUAAAAGAGCACCGACUAUAACACUCCUUCUGGGGCUUCAGGGGUCAUGGGCACCCUCAAGACACUGCCACAGGACCGGCACAAAGUUUGUUUCUGCUGGCACCCCAAAACGCCCACCCCAGCUCGUGCACCUCCUCACCUGCAUGCCCCCUUCAGCAAGGGGUUAAGCACUGUGGGUUUGAGUGAGUAGAGCUUGCCCCUGCCGGUGCUGAAGCAGCUGACUAGUUCCAGUGCCUGCACUCCAGUUCCUGCCCACAGAGGGGUCAGGGAAAUUUCCUGCUUCAACAUCACUGUAGUGCUACAAAUGUACUAGGUUUAUUAAUAGUGCCCCACAAAUUAAAAAUAAAGUUAUGGCUGUUUUUCUAUUUUUUUAAAAAAGUCCAGUGGCCCUGAUAUAUGAAUACACAGUUAUUUUUCUAGGAACAGACAUAAAAAUUGGGAAUGCAUAUGCAUUCCUAGAGAAACAAAUUUUUGUUGUCACAAAGUAAACAAGCUUAUAUUAUUUGUUAGAGCUCAGAAACAAAAUGAUAACCUUAUAAAACAUUUAAAAAAGAACUAACACCAAUUCUACUGAAACUACUCUGCAUAAUAGAAGACAGAAUACUUCCAAAUUCAUUCUAUGAGCCAGUAUUACCCUGAUACCAAACCAGACAAAGACACAUCAAAAAAAGAAAAGAAAAACACAGGCCAAAUCCCUGAUGAACAUUGAUGCAAAAAUCCUCAACAAAAUACUAGCAAACUGAAUUCAACAACACAUUAAAAAGAUCAUUCAUCAUGACUAAAUUGAAUUUAUCCCAGGGAUGCAAGGAUGGUUCAACUUACACAAAUUAAUGAAGAUGAUACAUCAUAUCAACAGAAUGAAAGACAAAAAUUACAUGAUCAUUUCAAUUGAUACUGAAAAAGCAUUUGAUAAAAUUUAAUAUCUUUUCAUGAUUAAUAAAACCUUCAAAAAAUUGGUAUAAAGGAAUAUACUUCAACCCAAUAAAAGCCAAAUAGGACAGACCCACAGCUAGUAUCAUAUUGAAUGAAGGAAAACUGAAAACUUUUCCUCUAGGAUCUGCAACAUGACAAGGAUGCCUACUUUCACCACUGUUAUUCAGCAUAGUACCAGAAGUCCUAAAUGGAGCAAUCAAACGAGAAAGAUAUAAAGGGCAUCUAAAUUGGAAAGGAAGAAGUCAAAUUAUUCUUGUUUGCAGAUGAUAUAAUCUUAUAUUUGGAAAAACCUAAAGACUCCACACACACACACAAAAACUAUUCAAACUGAUAAGUUUGGUAAAGUUUCAGGAUAAAAAAAUCGACAUACAAAAAUUAGUAGCAUUUCUAUAUGCCAACAGCAAACAAUCUGAAAAAAAUUUAAGAAAGUAACCACAUUUACAAUAACUACAAAAAAUAACUGAGAAUUAGCUUCACCAAAGAAGUGAAAGAUCUCUACAGUGAAAACUAUAAAACACUGAUAAAAGAAGUUGAAGAGAAUACACAAAAAAUGAAAAGAUAUUUCAUGUUCAUAGAUUGCAAGAAUCAAUAUUAUUAAAAUGUCCAUAUAUCCAAAGCAUUCUGCAGAUUCAAUGCAGCCUCUAUCAAAAUAGCAAUGACAUUCUUCACAGAAAUAGAAAAAAAUAAUCCUAACAUUUAUAUGCAACCACAAAAGACCCAGAAUAGCCAAAGCUAUCCUGAGCAAAACAAACAAAACUGGAGCAAUCAUAGUACCUGACUUUAAAUAAUACUACAGAGCUAUGGAAACCAAAACAGCAUGGUACUGACUGGCACAAAAACAGACACAUAGACCAAUGGAUCAGAACAGAGAAUCCAGAAACAAAUUUAUACACCUACAGUGAACUCAUUUUUGACAAAGGUGCCAAGAACAUACACUGGGGAAAGGACAGUCUCUCCAAAAAGCAGUGCUGGGAAAACUGAAUAUCCAGAUGCAGAAACUAGACCCCUAUCUCUCACAAUAUACAUAAAUCAAAUUAAAAUGGAUUACAGACUUACAUAUAAGACCUAAAACUAUGAAACUACUGAAAAAAAAAAAGAACAUUGGAGAAACUCUCCUGGACAUUGGACUGGACAAAGAUUUCUUGAGUAAUGCCCCAUGAGCACAGGCAACCAAAGCAAAAAUGGGCAAAUGGAAUCGCAUCAAGCUAAAAAGCUUCUGCACAGCAAAGGAAACAAUCAACAAAGUGAACAGACAACCCAUAGCAUGGGAGAAAAUAUUUGCAAGCUACCCAUCUGACAAAGGAUUAACACCCAGAAUAUAUAGGGAGCUCAAACAACUCUAUAGGGAAAAAAAUCCAAUAAUCCUAUUCUAAAAUGGGCAAAAGAUCUGAAUAGACAUUUCUCAAAAGAAGACAUACAAAUGACAAACAGAUAUAUGAAUUGGUGCUCAACAUCAUUGAUCAACAGAGAAAUGCAAAUCAAAACUACAAUGAGAUAUCAUCUCACCUAAGUUAAAAUGGCUUAUAUCCAAAGAUAGGCAAUAACAAAUGCUGGCAAGGACGUGGAGAAAAGGCAACCCUUGUACACUGUUGGUAGGAAUGUAAAUUAGUACAAUCACCGUGGAGAACAGUUUGGAGUUUCCUCAAAAAACUAAAAAUAGAGCUACGAUAUGAUCCAGCAAUCCCACUGCUAGGUAUAUACCCAAAAGAAAGGAGAUCAGUAUAUUGAAAAGAUGUCUGCAUUUCUACGUUUGUUGCAGCACUGUUUACAAUACCUAAAAUUUGAAAGCAACCUAAGCAUCCAUCAACAAAUGAAUGGAUAAAGAAAAUGUACAUAUACACAAUGGAGUACUAUUCAGCCGUAAAAAAGAAUAAUAUCCUGUCAUUUGCAACAACACGGAUGGAACUGGAGGUCAUUAUGUUAAGUGAAAUAAGCCAGGCACAGAAAGACAAACUUUUGCCUGUUCUCACUUAUCUGUGGGAUUUAAAAAUAAAAACAAUUGAACUCAUGGAGAUAGUAGAAUGAUGGUUACCAGAGACUGAAAAGGAUAGUUUGGCAGUGGGGGUGAGGGGUAAGUGGGGAUGGUUAAUGGGUACAAAAAUAUAAUUAGAUAGAAGGAAUAAAAUUUAGUAUUUGAUAGCAUGACAGAGUGACUACUAUCAACAAUAAUUUAUUGUACAUUUAAAAAUAACUAAAAGACUAUAAUUGGACUGUUUGAAACACAAAGAAGAAUAAAUGCUUGAGAUGAUGGAUAUCCUAUUUACCCGGAUGUGAUUAUUAUGCAUUGUAUGUCUAUAUCAAAAUAUUUCAUGUACACUAUAACUAUAUAGAUGUACGAUGUACUCACAAAAAUUUAAAACAAAA
rnacentral:lncRNA from 1 species